rnacentral:rRNA from 1 species
CCUACGGGAGGCAGCAGUGAGGAAUAUUGGUCAAUGGGCGGAAGCCUGAACCAGCCAAGUAGCGUGCAGGAUGACGGCCCUACGGGUUGUAAACUGCUUUUAUACGGGAAUAACGCGCCUUACGUGUAGGCCUUUGCAUGUACCGUAUGAAUAAGGACCGGCUAAUUCCGUGCCAGCAGCCGCGGUAAUCCGGAAGGUCCGGGCGUGAUCCGGAUUUAUUGGGUUUAAAGGGAGCGUAGGCCGCACGUCAAGCGUGCUGUGAAAUGUCCGGGCUCAACCCGGGCCCUGCAGCGCGAACUGGCGGGCUUGAGUGCGCGGAAAGCAGGCGGAAUGCGUCGUGUAGCGGUGAAAUGCUUAGAUAUGACGAAGAACCCCGAUUGCGAAGGCAGCUUGCUGCAGCGGAACUGACGCUGAUGCUCGAAAGCGCGGGUAUCGAACAGGAUUAGAUACCCUUGUAGUC